UGUUUGCUUCGGUCGGGGCACCGCCCGCAGUACCCCCUCAGAGCGUCCCCUCUCCGUCGCCCCUCAGCUGUCUCAGGUGCCUCCUCCCGGUGCUGCCUCAUAGUCUCCCUUCAGUCCCCUCAGUGCAUUAUUUCCCUCCCACGUCCUCGCAUCGGUCUUUCCUGUCUGCUUCUAUAGGGGCUCCCCCUCAGGACCCCAGAGCUGACCCCUCACAGGGUUCCGACUCCCUCAUAUGUCUGUUUCCCCCUCACAGCGUCCCCCGCAGUCUCCCUUCAGUCCCACCAGAGAUGUCUCAGUGCUCCUCUCACAGUGACACCUUCAAGUCUCCACACAGUCUCCCUUUCCCUUCAAUUCCCUCAUAGUAACCGCCAUAAUCUCCCCUCACUGUCCCACCAUGGAGGGCCCACUGGCCCUUCAGAGUCUCCCCUCAGUCCAUCAGAGCCCUUGCUCCACAGUCCCCUCUCUAACUCCCGUCACAUGUUGCAGUGCCCCCCUCACACUGCCCUCUCAAUUCUCCCCAUGAUCUCCCCUUCUCCUCUCAGUCCUUUCAGAGAACUUUUCAGAGAACCCCCACAAUCUCCUUUCAGUCCCAUCACGGAUGGCUCAAUACCCCCUCACAGUCUUUUCUCCCCUCAUAUUCCUCAGAGCCUCUACCCCAAUAUCUCCUCUCAGUCCCACCAUGCAUGUCCCCUCUCAGUCUUUCCCUCAGUUUUCCUCUCAGACUCCCAUCUCAGUUACAUUUCCUCACAGUUACAUUUCCAGUCUGCCUUCUCAGUUUCACCAUAGAUGCCACCCCUCAAUGCCCAAUUCACAGCCAUCCCCCUCACAGUCUCCCCUCUCAGUUUCCCCUCAGUCACCUCUCAACUUCCCCUCUCAGUUGCACAGAGAUGCUCUCUCUUAAUGUCCCUCUCAGAGUGUCCCUUCUCAGUUUCCCCUCUCAAUCCCCCUGUGGACAUUCCCUCACAAUGUCCCCCUUACAACAUCCCCUCCCAAGCUCCCCCUCAGUGCCCCCAUUUUCCCCCAUGUCCUCAGAGCAGACACACGAGGGCAAGUGUCCCUUUGGAGAUGACCCACUCUCAGGCACCAGCAUCAAACCCAGCCUCACUUUACAAACACUUUCUGCUCUGUCUAGACAGACUUCCCCAGCCCAAAACAGGUUUAGAAGACUGGAGCUCACAUACUUCCAUGGAUUUCCAUACUGGUUCCCAACCUGAGAAUCAGGUCGUAUAAGCCCAGUGACGUGUGUGGCAGCAGAGCUCCUUGUACCCAAACUGGUUGCUUGGGGCUGUUUUCAUCGCCUUCAUGUUGGAAUGUCCUCCCAGGGCAGCCACAAUGGGAAGAGAGGCUGGAGAAGGGCUGGACACAAUUCUAAGGAUAUGCUGAGGAGCUCCAUAAGCUGAGAUGGAUUCAACAGCAAUAAUUUAUUGGUUUAAAGGAGAUCUAUAAUGACAGAUUCCUUUGCAAAGAGACACGGUGAACUGGCUGGCAGGUUGUCUGAUGAGAAGGAAUCUGCACCGGGACUGUGAAGAAGUGGGAUCGUCUGCCUGUUGUUUGCCACGGGAAAGGGAAGAUCCCUGCGUUCAGCUGCUACUGAAACCAGGAAUGCCAGCUCAAAACCUGGAACAUCAGCUUGGGAGGACCCUGCUCUGAUCUGCUGUGGCUGAAGGAGGCUCAACCCCACGUCCUCGGCCACCCAGAGCUUUACCCAGUGUCUGCAAAGCACCUCAAACCUCCUUCCCAUGGCACCCUCAAACUGCACCGCGGUCAAGACACAUCCCACUCCUGUUUUAUUUUGUCCUCCUUCAACUUCUACAGAGCCUGAUGUUUGAUUUUUAAAUGAACUCUUUAAAUAAGACAUAGGCAAUAAGCUCCUGCUGUCUGACUUUCACCAAUAAAACUUCCUGGACAGAGUUCAGAGGGUGGUGUUAAUGCACAUUUUAAUAAAAUCAGCCUAUUUUAAGGGCUUCUGGUUCCCAGAAAACAAGAACAGCUUGGGAAGCCAAGACUCUGCUUCACACCUGAGACACCUUCCUCUCCUGCAGUCCUGCACAUACAGAUCAGCCCUUGCAUCAUCCAGCAGCUUAUUCCACAUUCCCUUCUCCUUGUCUCCUGAUUCCACACCUGGAAGCACAUUACCAUAUGGAUCCAAAGCAGGACUUUGGAUCUUUGGACUUUGGGACUGUGUCCCACCUCCAGCUCUGACCUGAGACACCUUCAGAGCACGGCAGCACUCAGACUGCUCCAGGGCCUGCAGGAAUUGGUGAGUGAUGGUUACUAAUUCCAGCUUUUUGAUAGGAUUUUGCAGAAUCCCACUGCCACUGCCUGCACAGUUCAGUCUCAGCAACAGCAAAGAGAAAUUCAAGUUUUACCCCAGGAAACAAACCAAGGACUGCUAAAUCCUGCAGAGAGAACUCAAAAGGAGAAAAGCAAUGGAGCAAAUGACUUUGCUGCCCAAACUGAUGUUCCACAAGCAGCCAGACAAGUCUCAGCAUUUCUCUGAGACUUCAGCUGGCUUUUCACAGCUGCCUGGGCACUGAGAUGGCAGUGCCAUGACACUGGGUCAUCCCUGCACCUCCACCUUGGCUGUUCCCACAUGCAAAUCAUUCUGUACUCACAGUCAAACCACCCCUCUGGCAUUUCUGGCAACUGGAAAAAUCACAUCAAUAAACAACAACUGCAUUUUUAAAUUUAAUUCUUGAAUUUAACUGCAGGGAUGUGUUUCUUCUGUAUCUUCUGUCACCACCACGAGGAGGAAGCUGCAGCUGUGACCAGGCAAAAUGGACCAAGACAUCAAAGCAAACACAAUCUCCUCUUUCCUCAGGAACAGAGAGGCACCAGCAGCAGCACCCGGAGCCGUGAGCUCAGCCCAGGUGCUGCCGUGCAAUGAGGAAGACACAGGUUCCCAAAGGUGAGGAGCAAGGAGGCAACAGCCACCUGUGUGUCCCAUCCAGAUGGAGCAAACACCCAGGUGGAGACCACAGCAGGGAAGAAGGGAGAAAACAGGGUCUUUAAAUUUAGCAGAACCCCUCCCCCCAAGCUGAGGUGCAGAUUUAAACAGCCAAAGGCAUUACAGCCAACCUCAGGCACCCUCAGCCUCUUGAGAUGUUGUGACAUGAAUUAACUGCUCCCUUGCAACACCUUUUGCUGUAUUCAGAAUUAAAGUUUUAGAUACAGGUCAGAGUUAGCGAUUUUAAAAUGCCAGAAACCCUAAAAACUUGGCCUUUUACUGAGGAAUAAACUCCUUUUUAGCUAAAGCUGCUAUAACAAUGGGGAACUCCCUUUGUUUUUUGCUCUGGGCACCUCCUUUCUGUGUUUUAGCCCUAAAGGAAGAGUAUCCAAAUACUUAUGUUUUGUGUAAAGCCCUUGGGGUAUCCACCCUUUCCUCCCCUCAUUUUGUCACUCCUGGGACACAGCAGAAGCUGCAGCCAGACCGUGGCACUGCCUCACUCUGCUCACAGGGCUCAGGUCACCUCCAGCAAAGGGAAAUGGCCCCAAAUCCUGGGAAGUAACAGGCAAAUCCAUCCUCAAAAUCCUAAUGCUGGAAGUUAAUCCAUAGGAAUGCCGUUUACCUGGUUCUCACUGAGAAAUCUCUCCCAGGAGCAGCAGGGAGGAAAAAGCAUUUUGGUGUGUUAGCAGCAGAUUAAGACCUCAGUGCCCACAAUACUCUGUGCACUGCUUGUCACUCUGCACUUCAGAGCAGGUGCUGCAAGUGGCAGAAAGCAACACAGGGCUCAUGAACACUCAGCAAUCUCCCCAGCCCCUUCUCUGAACCAUUUUAAAUCAGUGUCAUUAAACCACCCUAAAGACUGGAAGCACAGCCACACAUGGAUUGUCCUUGCUGAAUAAAUCCCUGGGGACCCAGCCACCCCCCCAUGUUCACUGACAGCACUGCUGGCACCAACAGCACACACAGCACAAGCAUUUUAAUGGAGUGAACUUUGCCUGUGGCCUCCCACCAGCACACGUGUCAGGAAUUCUGCAGCAGAGCCACACAACCCUGCUAGAAACGCCUCCAGAGUAAUUUCUGUGUCAGGAUAAAUCUUCAAAAGCAUAAGAGGAGGUGUGAAGGUUCAGCUCACACUGGUUUACCACACAAACAGGUAUCUCCCCCUCCAAACCAUCCAUUGAGAACUGAAUUUCUUGGUUUGGUUAUUACACUGAAGAGAUUUAACCCCUGGCAGCCCCAGCUGUGGGAUUCUUGCUGCUGUCCUGGCAAUGAGCAAGCUGGUCACUCAUCAGGAGCCUUUUCCCAAUCCAGUUAAGGCAGAGUACCAUCACUGGCAGUUCCCAGUACAGACAUCAGCCCUUGAUUUCAGAGUCCACCAGCACUGCUGUCCUCAGUGCCUUUAUUUGUUUAGUGCCAAUGAAACUCCCAGAGCCCCACACCACAGCAGCACAGGAGCCUUGUGUACUUUAUAGGCUGAAGAAGAAGGAUUUUGCAUCCUGAAGUGCUUGAACAAUGAAGAGAAAGGUGCUUUGGGUCCAGCAGCACCUUUUCCUUUCGGGUUUAACCACCCUCUGCCAACCUAUCCCGGGUGCAGGGCUGGGGCUGGUGGAGGUUUGGUUAUUGUGCAGCGUCUCAAGGAGCUGGUGUGUCCUGACUGAGCUCUGCCCUUGCACACAGCUGAGCAGGGAGAGGCAGAGUCUAUAAAACCGGGAGAAAGAAGUGAAAGGGAGAAAGGCUGGAACAACUCUGAGACAAUAACAUAACACUAGAAGGCAUGUAAACAAUUCUGGAUCACAUUAGCUCCUUGACUGUAGGAAAAGGAAUACUGACACAACUGAAGCAAGAACCCUAACAAUGGUUUCAGGAAUACAUUCUUCAGAUGCAAGAGGUAUUUGCAGAAUUACUACCUGAAAGUUGGAAGUGCAACCCACAAUGGGGAGGAGGGAAGUGUAACCUAGGGAGAAGGAAGCUGCUGGAAAACUGUGCCCUCAAAACCACCUCACAUUGUUGCUCAUUGGGAACUGCCUCCAAACAGGCAACAACACUUGUGGCACAGGGAUUUGGGGGUGAGGAUUCCCUGGUUUGUUGUGUGCUGGCAGAUCGAGCGAAGAAGAUGAAUUCUGAACAUCUUUCCUAUCAAAUGGGAUACUACCUGCAUAAUCAACAGCUUUGCAGGGCCUGUGUGCAGAGUUCUGUUUAACUGAGAUCCAGAAAUCCCACACACUCACAUCUGAUAAAAGCUUCACAGGCUCCAUGCUGACUGUGGAGUGGAGAUGGAUCUCCAGCAGCUGAACAGGAACCCCACAACAGAUUUAUUUAUUACUCAGACCCCCAAAUCACAUGGGGAUAAGAGGAAGAAUCAAUACAUUCUGACUUGAGUUCAGAUGGAAAGAGCCCACCAGCACCACACAGCCAGUGCAGCACCACCCCUCCCCAGCUCUUCCCUGGCUGACCAACUUGUUUGGGAAUAAAAACCCUUUCACUUUAUUUGGUAUCAGAGGGAGCUGAAUAGUUGAAUGGUCAAUAUGAUCCCCAGCAGAGCAUCAAAUGCCAGAGAGGGAGGUGGUGGAAGCAUGCAGAGGGCAGACAGGCACAGCCUAAGCCCCCAGUCCCACAGUUCAGCUCCUGGGCUCCCGCGGGCCUCUGCUCCCAGGGACCUGCAUGGAGCUGUCCGCAGGACUGGGAAAUGAUUGUGCUUCUCAGCUCACUAUAAGGACUCUUCUCCCUGUUCCUGCUUUCAGCAGCAGGAAGGGAGCACUCUGUUCUCUUCCCUGCUGCAAAAGCACAGUGUGUGUGUGUGUGUGUGUGUGUGUGUGUGUGUAAAAAUCCUGAAAAAUGUUGCGCAGCACCAUUGGUUCAGUCUGGAGGGAAGCCGGGAUACUCAGCUGUGUUUGGUGGCUUCCAAAGUGUGGCCAGCUUGGAAACAAAUAUUGCCUAAGGUAACAUCCUCACAGUGGUUGGUAGUUCAAAGAGGCUCAAACAUUGUCUUAUUACUCCUGUUAAACCCACGAACAAUUCAUCUCCCGGUCCCUUCCGCGUGCAAAAAUUCCCAAAUGAAAUAAGAAAAAAACCCCCAAAAAACCAAACAGGAAUAAAAUAAAUAAAUAAAUAAAGGCAUUCCCAAAACAUUUAUUUUGCUUCUCUCUUUCUCUCUCUCCAGUCAGCUUAGAGACACUGAUGUCACCUACCUUCGCCCACUGAGCCGCGUACGGAGCCGGGAGCCCUGAACUCCAGCACUCCCGUGGUCUCUCCUCUGCUUCUGGAAACCUGUCCCCAGAGCUGGCACUGUCCCAACCCUCCUUCCAUCCCCACGGAUCAGUAACUCAUUGGCUAUAUGGAAAAGAAGUGUAUCCAAAGCACACGAUGGCACAUGGAGGCUGCAGAAAGCAUCGGGAAAGGAGAACAGAACGACAGCAGCUGUUCCUCCUGCCCUAACUAAAGGCUGAGCCACGGCACAACUCGCCCUCCAGCCCGACCCAAAGUGUGUCACCCCUCGCCCAGACAUUCUUGUGGUGCUUUACUGGCACUUUAUAGCAGUCUCAUAUGGUAGAUACAUGCACAUGUCUGUGUGUUACAUACAAAAGGUCUGAUAACAGUAAAACAUUGUUCCGAGAGAUAUAAAAAACCCAAGGAGUUGCAUUAGCCAAAAAAAGUGUUUUGUGAGAAACAACAAUAAAAAUGAUAUAACCACA